CAGUGCCUGCAAUCACGGCACAGACAUGAGAACCCAGGCUUCUUUUUCCCAGCCCAGCAAGGGUGGCUUUGCGCUGUGAGUUUCCUGAGAAGAAGGCUUCUCUGCUCCUAUCUGUGAUUCUAAGAAGAUUUAAUCAGCUUCCUGGUAAUUUCCGCAGUCAGGCAGGUGUUAGGGGGAGCCCUACCUUCCACCCAGGAUGCCCAGAUCGGGAGGAUCCAGGUCAGGAAGGUCUGGA
rnacentral:lncRNA from 1 species